GGACAACCUACCCUUGGGUCCGGCAUAAUCCUGGGAAACUGGGAAUAAUUCCGGAUAGGUCACCGAUGCUGGAAUGCGCGGUGGCCGAAAGCUCCGGCGCCCGAGGAUGGGUCUGCGGCCUAUCAGGGUUGUAGUGGGUGUAACGUACCUACUAGCCUACGACGGGUACGGGUUGUGAGAGCAAGAGCCCGGAGAUGGAUUCUGAGACACGAAUCCAGGCCCUACGGGGUGCAGCAGGCGCGAAAACUUUACAAUGCGGGAAACCGUGAUAAGGGGAUCUCGAGUGCCAGCAUAUAAUGUUGGCUGUCCAGAUGCCUAAAAAGCAUCUGUUAGCAAGGGCCGGGCAAGACCGGUGCCAGCCGCCGCGGUAACACCGGCGGCCCGAGUGGUAACCGCUAUUAUUGGGUCUAAAGGGUCUGUAGCCGGCCAGGUAAGUCCCUUGGGAAAUCUGGCAGCUCAACUGUCAGGCUGCUAGGGGAUACUGUUUGGCUUGGGACCGGGAGAGGUGAGAGGUACCUUGGGGGUAGGGGUGAAAUCUUGUGAUCCUCGAGGGACCACCAGUGGCGAAGGCGUCUCACCAGAACGGGUCCGACGGUAAGGGACGAAGCCCU
rnacentral:rRNA from 1 species